rnacentral:rRNA from 1 species
AUGUGGGCUUUUUGGUGGGCGCGGAGGAGAGCAAUCCAUGACAAUGAAUUUCAGAGCCCUUUGUCUACUUGGUGCUUCAUCACGAGGUGCCUUCAAGACCUUGAGAUUGCAGUGAAACAGAAGAACACUACCGCUAUGCCGAAUGUCGGUGCCCGGCCACGGCAUAAGGCAUGGAUUCCACCUGAGGAAGAUGAAGCAAAAUUCAACGUGGAUGGGGGUAUUUCGAGACAGGGCCAUGUUGGGGCAGCUGCGGUGAUUUGCAGAGAUAAGGAGGGUCUUUUCCUGGGGGCUUCGGCACUGGUUUUCGAUGGCCUGAAUGAUGCAGUUGCGUUGGAGGCACAUGCAUGCAAUGAAGCUUUAGCGCUGGCCAUGGAUCUACAGCUAACUGACUUGCUGAUUGCUAGCGAUUGCUUGGAGGAAAUAACGGCGAGGAGAAGGGAUUUCAACCAUGUAAAGUUCAAGUUUGAACAUAGAGAAAGUAAUUUUGAAGCCCAUGCACUGGGGAAAGCAGCGUCUUCUCUUCCAGUAGGGCGCCAUAUUUGGCUAGGGACCGUACCAGACAUUAUUUGUAUUCCGAUGUUGAUUACUGCUUAA